ensembl:lncRNA
CUACAUUCCUGAUCUGACAUGGCUGGAUUGGUGAAAGCUGUGGUAGAACCAUUGCUUACACCUAUCAAUUUGUGUUAGUUCAGUGAUUACUUCAAGGAAGAGAGGAAGAAAGGAUGCACUUCCAAAGUAUUCAAACAGGGUCUUCUUUUCUGGACUUAACCUGAGACUUUUGGGUUCUUCUUUCACCGCAUUCUCGCUGAGCUGGGGAGUGCAGGAGAGCGAUGGACUAAGAUGUCGGGCCAGAGCAGCGGGGAGAGAGAUCGGCCCGUGGUGACGCGAGGGUGUACCUGGGGUCCGUGUCAGAGGACAGGCCACCUCUUAAGUGGCUGGAGCUUGAGCUGCUGAGACAGGAGAACCGCUGCCACUCUGUAACCCUGGGAGACUAAAUCAAACUGAGGUCACAACUGCUCUACAGUGUUGAUCCCACAUGCAGCCUCAGCAAACUCAAGAUUGAAAAGAGAGUAUCCCUUGAAAGCCUGCCAAAGCUCAAGCUGGCCUUUGAGGAAUUUGAAAUGGGUGUCCUAAGAUCACUGGAUGUGCUCAACUUUGGACUGAUAGUGAAGAAGAGUUUGGGCUUUCACAACAUAGAUGAGUUACACAGUGGAGGAGGAGUCGGCGCAGUGUGGCCAACAGGUGGCGUUUUCCCUGCCCACCCCGGUCAGGGACCUGUGCCAUGGAGAGCCCGUUGCCCUGAUGGCACCAUUUUCACCGUUUGCGAGGAUGGUGCUGUCUACUACUGGAGCCCCGGGCUCAUCCUGAAGAGGAGCAAGAGCGAGUGUGCGGGUGCGUGUGGCAGUGACUCAGAACGCAACAGUUAAUCAUCAAGGCAACAAAAAGCAUCAGGAAAAAAGAAUGUGGAAGAAAUGACCAAAGAUUGAGAAUGUGCCUAACAUAGGGAUAGACAAUGCUUUCUCCGAAUGUGACAUACAUACAUACGAUGGAAGGUCCACCAGGACUGGGGGACAAAGGUGAUGUUUAGUAUUUCUCGAUGCACACUGGGAUACCUGUGUGUCUAUCUAUGGAAUAACUAUUUCUGUCUGUUAGAUGAUUAUCUGUAGGGUACAGAAAGGGACCCCCCCUCUCCCCAUAGACUCAACAUGGGAUUUUCAUCAUUUUCAUCUGAAUUUGAAUGCCAUUUAUGUCACGCCCUGACUUUAGUUAUCUUUGUUUUCGUUAUUUAUUUGGUUAGGUCAGGGUGUGACAAGGGUGGUGUGUUUAGUUUUUGUAUUGUCUUGGGGGUUUUGUAUGUCUAGGGGUUUUUCUAGUCUGUUUUUUUUUUGUCUAUGGUUGCCUAGAUUGGUUCUCAAUCAGAGGCAGCUGUUUAUCGUUGUCUCUGAUUGGGAACCAUAUUUAGGUAGCCAUAUUCCUUGCGCAUUUUGUGGGUUAUUGUCUAUGUGUAGUUGCCUGUGUCUGUACUCAGUUGAUUAUAGCUUCAUGUUCGUUUUGUUAUUUUGUAAGUUUGUUUAGUGUUUCUUCAUUUAUUAAAGAGUAUGUAUUUGUA